UCUCCGUUGGUGAACCAGCGGAGGGAUCAUUACAGAGUUGUAAAACUCCCAAACCAUCGUGAACGUUACCUAUCCCGUUGCUUCGGCGGGCGGCCCGGGCCCCGCGCCCGGCGCCCCCCGGCCCCCCGUGGGCGCCCGCCGGAGGUAAACCAAACCCUUGAAUUGCAUGGCCUCUCUGAGUCUUCUGUACUGAAUAAGUCAAAACUUUCAACAACGGAUCUCUUGGUUCUG
rnacentral:misc_RNA from 1 species